rnacentral:rRNA from 1 species
GACGAACGCUGGCGGCGUGCUUAACACAUGCAAGUCGAACGGAAAGGCCCUGCUUUUGUGGGGUGCUCGAGUGGCGAACGGGUGAGUAACACGUGAGUAACCUGCCCUUGACUUUGGGAUAACUUCAGGAAACUGGGGCUAAUACCGGAUAGGAGCUCCUGCUGCAUGGUGGGGGUUGGAAAGUUUCGGCGGUUGUGGAUGGACUCGCGGGUUAUCAGCUUGUUGGUGGGGUAGUGGCUUACCAAGGCUUUGACGGGUAGCCGGCCUGAGAGGGUGACCGGCCGCAUUGGGACUGAGAUACGGCCCAGACGGCUACGGGAGGCAGCAGUGGGGAAUAUUGCACAAUGGGCGGAAGCCUGAUGCAGCAACGCCGCGUGCGGGAUGACGGCCUUCGGGUUGUAAACCGCUUUCGCCUGUGACGAAGCGUGAGUGACGGUAAUGGGUAAAGAAGCACCGGCUAACUACGUG